GACGAACGCUGACGGCGUGCUUAACACAUGCAAGUCGAACGGUGAAGCGCCUUCCUUUUUGGUGGGUGUGGAUGAGUGGCGAACGGGUGAGUAACACGUGAGUAACCUGCCCCCUUCUUCUGGAUAACCGCAUGAAAGUGUGGCUAAUACGGGAUAUUCUGGGUCUGUCGCAUGAUGGGUCUGGGAAAGAUAUUGUUUCGGUGGGGGAUGGGCUCGCGGCCUAUCAGCUUGUUGGUGGGGUGAUGGCCUACCAAGGCGGUGACGGGUAGCCGGCCUGGGAGGGUGGACGGUCACACUGGGACUGAGACACGGCCCAGACUCCUACGGGAGGCAGCAGUGGGGAAUAUUGCACAAUGGGCGCAAGCCUGAUGCAGCGACGCCGCGGGAGGGAUGGAGGCCUUCGGGUUGUGAACCUCUUUCGCCAGUGAAGCAGGCCUGCCUCGUUUGUGGGUGGGUUGACGGUAGCUGGAUAAGAAGCGCCGGCUAACUACGUG
rnacentral:rRNA from 1 species